ACAGAGGAGGCGAUUAGAGGCGCUGGGCAGGGUUCCCUCCUGGCCAGGCCACAGAGGGAGUCCUAAAGUAGGCCGCACCAGCUCUUAGUGCAGCUGAAGAGAGAAGUCACCCUUCUCUUUUGUUUUGGGCCUGAGGUUUAAAGCCAUAGCUGAUAAGUAAAGCUUUCUGUGAUUUAGUUAAAAAGCUCGUGUCACCAUGUGCUGCAGUUGUGGUGGGCUUAGCUGUAGAGUGACUUAACCUUUAAUUACCAAUGGGAUUUCUAGGCCCCGGGGCACUGGAAGUGUUUCCUCUGCCAAUCAUGGACACAUCACUGGGGUCCCCACAAGCCAGAGCAGUGAGGCCAUCGAGUGGAGGGGCCUGGAGUCCUUGGUGGCAUGGUGACGAUUCACUGUGACUUGACUUUUUGAUCUUUGGUGAUGAAAUGUCACCCGGCAGCACGUGGAAUCAGGAAAGUUCACUGAGAAGGUACUUGUCUGUUUUGAAAGGACCCUGUGACAGCCAGUCUGCUCAUUCCUGCCACCUUCUAGAAGGAGCCAAGAGGGACACUUCCUAAAAAAGGGGGUUAGAAUCAUUUUUGACAGUUCUAAAAAUGAAUGAUACAGGCACAUUUUAAACCCAUUACCUAAUGUUUUAAAUGUGUAUCAUGUAAUUCUGAUGAGGGAUAUUAAUUUUUACCAACAUCAUUCUAAGAAAACAAGGCAGAGUGACAUAUCAUAAGGAAUGUAACAAGGGAAAAUAUCAUGUAUGUUUAAUGUAGUUCAGCAAGUGAUGUUUAUCUCAUUGUGAAUUCCAAAAUACCUGAAUAGAAUGGAAGUGAGACUCACUACUUUGAGAGAGUACAAAGAUAUAAAAAAAAUCAGUUGAUUUCCCCCUCAUUUGUUAGGUCAGUUGACUUUUCAGAAAUGCUGGCCAGGACUUCCUGUCCAUUAGUAGUUCAAGGGUAGAAUUCACUCUCAUGAACAGGCAAACUAGUUUGGAUUGCAAAUCCAAUUCAUCUUACUGUAAUAGGACAAGUGCAUAACUUUCUGGAACAUACCUAGAUGAAACCAUGCAGACCUUGACAUGACUUCCUUAUUAACCAGUGGUGGGAUAGUGGGAUGUAGGAGGUGCUUUUUAGAGUCUUUGGUUGUGAAAGUCUUGGUUAAGUGUGUUUAGAAAUGGUCAGCAUGAAUCUCAUGCAUGAGGGGAGUGGGAUUCACAGUGGCAGUUGGAGUGUGUUCUGGUGGUGUGCAUGCUUGCUUCUGAGUGUGCGUGAACCAAGAUGAUGUCUUGGAAACUUGGCCAAUCAUUUUGGGAAAGAAAGAGAGACUUACUAUAGCCUGAUUUUAUUGGCCUUUUAUAGGAGUAUACUCGAGAAAUACUUAACAGCAAAAAGGAACAGGUAAUGUUUUUUGAAAAAAUGUACAUUUUAUAUGGUAGUAAUACUCUCUAGAAUGUUAUUACUAAUGCUAAAAGUUUUAAUAUGAAAAGGGUCCAGGCUAAUACUUUCAUCCCUUAAAUAUCAAAUUCAUAAAACACCAGCAUUGUGAUUCUGCUUGACAAGUCACUCCUGGGACGUCCACUCUUGAGUUGGAUCUCCAGAGUGACGGCGCUCCAGAGAGAGGGUAGGAGUGCUGGGUGUCGAGUGGCAUCCCCCGGUGCCCGGGAAGCAAGCUGUUCAUGUUUGGCUUAGUGGCAGAGUGCCUGUGGGAACUGGUGGCAGGUCCCCAAGGUGGAAGCAACGACUGCUUCCUUAGUAGUUAAGGGAUCCUGGCCAACCCAUGUUGGACCAUCACGUGAGAACAAAGGCCGGAGGCCCUGACACCUGGAGAGCACCAGGCUGCUUGCCUUUGUGGGGCCGGGCCCUGCGGUGUGCAGCAAGGGUAGCACCCAUCAAAGACCCGAAAGCCACGCCCUCUGACAUUGCUGAGACUUGCCCCCGAGGCCUGAGGCCUGAGGAGGUUCCUGUUGCCUUCGUCAGGUGUAUAAGUCUUCGUCCCACACAGUUGAGGAAGGUAGUUGGUGUGAACAAUUGCUGAUCACUGGGGCGUGGAAAGAGGUUUCUAGGUUUAGGACACCCAUGUUCUCCUAAGGUCAGCCUUCGCACACUGGCCUCUCCUGCUGGGAGGACAGUGCUGCUCUCAGGAAGUGUGCACACGAGGGCUCUGUCCUCUGGGUAGCUGGCAGGCAUUGACUCUGGGUUGUCCGUCGAGGGCACGUCUCAGCGCAGCCCUGUCUUCCUUCUGUUUUGUGUUCUGGGGUGGGAACACCCCAACUCUAACUCUUGACAGAUCUCUGGAUCUGGGUCAUGGUGAUUUGAUUUUUGAGGCUGUGGUGACUCCUGUUUCUUUUCCUCUUCAGAAAACGCUGUGCGGAUUGAGUUGCCCUCAGUUAAAACUCUGACCUGUAUUGGUCUUGCUGCAAAUACUUAGGCAAGAAAUGAGCCAUCUGCUCCACUUUGGUUAAUUCUGGGCCUUCAGUGAUUCUGCUGGCAGCUGUGAACUCUCUGGGUCUCUUAGGAAACUUCCUAUUGCUGUUGCUGUUGAUGUCCGCAGCUCUGGGCUCUUUGCUGAAGUUGGGACAGUCGGCGCGCAGUUGCUCGUCACCUCUUGGCAGGGUGCUUGUUUGUGCUUAGUCAAUGCCUCCCUGGCUGACGGGGGCUUUCCUUUGCGGUUCAGUGUCACUGUUUUAACCCCUUCUUCUGCAGUGUCAUUAUCCGCGAGGAGGCGGUGUCAGGGGCUCCAAGUGGAACAAGAGGUCGGAGCUGUGUCAGGGUUCCUUCCAGCAGCCACGACAUUUGUGCUUUCUUCACGUCCACAAAGACGACCGGACUGGGGAGCCACGGGCCCUGCACGGGGGCCAGUGUGGAAGGUGCUCUGGGUGGCUGGUGCAUGGAUUCGGAUUGAGUGAAAGCCCACAGUUGUACUGUGAGUUGAAUACCCCGAUGCUUGGCAGAGCCUACCUAGUCCCACUAACCAGUACUUACAUGCUGCCCUUUACUAAUGACCAGCUAGCUGUGCCUGUGUAAGGCAAGUUCAGAGCAGCUGUUACUGUGUCUGUUAAUGUGUUUAUCAGCGCUUGAGCAUCAAUGCUGUAAAACCCUUAUGUGUGUCCAUCUAUGCAGAGGUGAAAUAAACUAUGUGGAACGCCAGUGCCCCACAAGUCUGUGUGUGCUUGCUUCUCCCCCGCUCGGCAGCAGGACGCCAGGCUGGGCGUCCCCCAGGGCUGGCAUCCCCCAUCUGUGAAGCAAGCUGUCCAGCUCAGAAUGCCCGAGGCCAAGUUGCCCCUCACAGGUCCUCACGGGGUCCUGCUCCUUUGACCCCCUUCCUCUCCUUCCAGAGAGGCCCACUGAUCUGAGGACCUGUCCGCGGCCUGUUGUGUGGUGGGGUCAGCUGGUUACAGGGGGAAACCAGUUGAGGCUUGGGAGGAAGAAGUUUAUCACCUGCCGAGGUCUCAUGGAGGGUCACUUCAUCCAGGCAGGGUCAAGGGGAGAAACGCCAGGUGGUCAGGACAGGGGAGAGGACAAAGCCAGGCUGGGCCCUUACCUGUGCUUCUGUGAGAAACAGCCGGGCAGAGCAAUCAGCUCAGGAUUGGCUACUUUCAGUGGGGUGAGCCAUGGGUGUCUCUGGUUGCCUGGUCCCUGGCUCGGGGGUUUUAGGCAUGGAGCACCUUGGUUGGUGUCUGAGUGUCGGGGCAGAGGUAGGGUGUCUGAGGGGCAUGCCCUGGGCAGGCCUGCGCUGGCUGGAGGAACCGGCUGAUGCUGAAGGUGGCCGGAUCUCCCCAGUGGCGAGCUCUGCAAGAUGCCCAGACCUGGAGGGACCAGGGAGUGUCACAGGCUCCCCUGUCCCCUUCCCCCCAGGAGCACCUCCUCAUCCCACUGGAAUCCCAGAGGGCCUGGGGCUGGAGCCAAGGUGCCUCCCUGCCCCUGUGCACCCCAGCUCUUCAGAACAGACUGAGAAACAGGCUCAGUGGGGAGCAGAGGAGACCAGCUGCAUGUGCACCCCCAGCGGGAGAGCAGCACUGGUCUCUGCAGAUGGGCUGCGAAGCCCCAUCAGGUGGGCCCCAGCGCACUGGGAUGCAGAGCCUCAGGAGCCUGAGGUGGGCCCAGCUCACAGGCAGGUCCUCAGGACAGGCUGCAUGUGAGGAAGGGGCAGUCCCAAUAUUUUCCCAGGGAGAAGGAGCAAGGAGAGUGAGUCUCAGCAAGGCCAGAACUGUGACAAAAUCCCUACAUUUUGGAACAGUUCCGUGAGUGGCCCUUCGGAAGGCUCGCCUGUCCUUGGGAGCAGCAGCUUUUCCUGUGUGUGACAGGAAGUGACCUCUGUGGCCCAGAGCCCUCUGAGCUCUCAGGUCACCGCACACUUGGACCUGAAUUCCAGAGCUGGAUGAUCCCCACAGAAGGGGAGGUGCGGCUCCAGCCCAGCUCAGCGGGACGUGUGGACCCAGGCUGGCCAUGCCCAGGAGGAGAGGGCUCCGUGACAAGGCGCAGCACUGCCUGGUGUCUGGAGAUGGGUCGAUGCUGAUGCACACGCUGGGGUUGGCCACACAGUUACUGCACCAUGAGGUAAGUGUUCUCCUGGUCCAGUCUUCACCCUGGUCUGAGUGACAACCAUCCUGUCACCACCCAGCUCCCCUCCAAGUCGGGGUCCACAUCCCCUCCUCAGCCCCCAGCCCUGUCUCCACCUGUCAGUUCUCCUGUGAACGGGAAGUGAGCACUUGCAGACCCAGACCUCACUGCUCAGUGGGCACUGGAGGACCCCAGAGCCACUGCUGAUUGGUGGCAGUCGGUCCAGACAGUUUCCCUCAUGGAUCUCUCUUUACUCAGAGGGGACAGGAACGUUGCUGAAGGGCGGAGAUGUGCUCAGUACCCCAACUGCUGUCUCUGUCUCUCUCCUGCAUUUUCUUCUGCAAAGAUAUUAUUCAAUUUGAACUUCCCUGAGCCUCAGUGUUUUCCUUGCCAAGUUUUAGGAUUUGGAUAAUAAAUCAGAGUGGCUUUCUUUGCAGCCUUUGAAACUAGAUGUAAUGACAAAAAACAUACAGGCUUUUCAGACUGAGGUGAUGAAUCAUCUAGCAGAAGUCGGGUGAACGAGGUCCAGGAGAACAGUUCACAUAACUCUAAUAGUCUUGCUCAGUGAGAAGAAGGAUUUUAAACCUCUUUAGAUAAAUGAAAUAAAAGCUAUUUGUGCAAA